UACGAAGGGUGCAAGCGUUAAUCGGAAUUACUGGGCGUAAAGCGUGCGUAGGUGGUUUUUUAAGUCUGCUGUGAAAGCCCUGGGCUCAACCUGGGAAUGGCGGUGGAUACUGAAAAGCUAGAGUGCGGUAGAGGAGGGUGGAAUUCCCGGUGUAGCGGUGAAAUGCGUAGAGAUCGGGAGGAACAUCAGUGGCGAAGGCGGCCCUCUGGACCAGCACUGACGCUGAGGCACGAAAGCGUGGGGAGCAAAC
rnacentral:rRNA from 1 species